UACGGAGGAUCCGAGCGUUAUCCGGAUUUAUUGGGUUUAAAGGGUGCGCAGGCGGGAGAUUAAGUCGGCGGUGAAAUUUUGCAGCUCAACUGUAAAAGUGCCUUCGUAACUGGUUUCCUUGAGUGUAGAUGAAGUAGGCGGAAUUUGUGGUGUAGCGGUGAAAUGCAUAGAUAUCACGAGGAACUCCGAUUGCGCAGGCAGCUUACUAAACUACUACUGACGCUCAGGCACGAAGGCGUGGGGAUCAAACAGGAUUAGAUACCCGGGUAGUCCCU
rnacentral:rRNA from 1 species